rnacentral:rRNA from 1 species
GUACCGUGAGGGAAAGGUGAAAAGCACCCCGGAAGGGGAGUGAAAUAGAACCUGAAACCGUGUGCUUACAAGUAGUCAGAGCCCGUUAAUGGGUGAUGGCGUGCCUUUUGUAGAAUGAACCGGCGAGUUACGAUUUGAUGCAAGGUUAAGCAGUAAAUGUGGAGCCGUAGCGAAAGCGAGUCUGAAUAGGGCGUUUAGUAUUUGGUCGUAGACCCGAAACCAGGUGAUCUACCCUUGGUCAGGUUGAAGUUCAGGUAACACUGAAUGGAGGACCGAACCGACUUACGUUGAAAAGUGAGCGGAUGAACUGAGGGUAGCGGAGAAAUUCCAAUCGAACCUGGAGAUAGCUGGUUCUCUCCGAAAUAGCUUUAGGGCUAGCCUCAAGUGAUGAUUAUUGGAGGUAGAGCACUGUUUGGACGAGGGGCCCCUCUCGGGUUACCGAAUUCAGACAAACUCCGAAUGCCAAUUAAUUUAACUUGGGAGUCAGAACAUGGGUGAUAAGGUCCGUGUUCGAAAGGGAAACAGCCCAGACCACCAGCUAAGGUCCCAAAAUAUAUGUUAAGUGGAAAAGGAUGUGGCGUUGCCCAGACAACUAGGAUGUUGGCUUAGAAGCAGCCAUCAUUUAAAGAGUGCGUAAUAGCUCACUAGUCGAGUGACACUGCGCCGAAAAUGUACCGGGGCUAAACAUAUUACCGAAGCUGUGGAUUGUCCUUUGGACAAUGGUAGGAGAGCGUUCUAAGGGCGUUGAAGCAUGAUCGUAAGGACAUGUGGAGCGCUUAGAAGUGAGAAUGCCGGUGUGAGUAGCGAAAGACGGGUGAGAAUCCCGUCCACCGAUUGACUAAGGUUUCCAGAGGAAGGCUCGUCCGCUCUGGGUUAGUCGGGUCCUAAGCUGAGGCCGACAGGCGUAGGCGAUGGAUAACAGGUUGAUAUUCCUGUACCACCUAUAAUCGUUUUAAUCGAUGGGGGGACGCAGUAGGAUAGGCGAAGCGUGCGAUUGGAUUGCACGUCUAAGCAGUAAGGCUGAGUAUUAGGCAAAUCCGGUACUCGUUAAGGCUGAGC